rnacentral:tRNA from 1 species
AAUUUUUUAUUCAAUUAUGAUUUUGAAUUGCAAGUUCGAAGGUAACAGUUUAACUAGUUAAAAAUUU